GGCUUCACAGCUGUUUACAUAUUAAAGUGCCAUGUUUGCAUUUACUACUACUGUUCCAGCAACUCAGUGAGUAAGAUUUACACGGCGGGGGGAGGACCAGAAGAAUCCUUGGUAUCAGAGAGAACGGGGGAUGUGCCCUCUUUACUGUGCUGCCAGAGAAGUCUAGAGUGUGACUAAUGGAAGUCUCACUAGUGGACAGACAGUAUAUGAGCCUCUCACAUUUGGAAAUGAUUCCAAGUGACCUUGGAUGACCAUGAGGCUGCCUUCUCAUUCUUACUAUGAAGAUGGUGCCUGGGUAGGUGUAGAAGGAGUGGAGUCAGAGAUCAAGAGACUCAGAGUGGUAGGACUCUUGAGCAUUCUGAGAAAUUUUUUGCUUCCUACAUGAUCUUCAAAGAAGAUGUUCUCAUUCCAUAGGAAAAGUCAUUAUGGGCUGGUGAGAUGACUCAGCAGCCCGAGAGGUCUUAAACUUCCAGUGUGGAUGGCUAGUCCUCACUUCUUUAUCCAGGCAACACACAGCACGGAUGGACAGAAAACCAAACACCUUUGCCAAGAACAAUUACUGAGGGUGUGAAACGAUGAAGACAUAGAGAAUACUGCUGCAUAGAAAUGUUCACAGUUCUUCAAUUUCCAAAAGGAAUUCAGAGGGAGAACUUGGAUUAAUGUAAAUAAUGUGAUUUUUUUGAAAUACAAAUGAAUAUUGAUUGAGAGGGUUGAAAUGGGACAAGAGAGUGAAGACCAGCCAAACCCAAACACCUACAGAGAGCACACAGAUAUGAAUGUUAGGGGCCCUUUCUGAGGUCUCUCUCUUUGGAGUGUAGAUACAGCUGAUACAUAACCAUCAGGAGCUCAGGUGGGAUCCACAGUCAUAGGACACCCAAGAGGAAAGAGCAAAAUCAAACAUAAAGGCUCCCAUCUUAUGAACAAGAGGCUUUUGCAACCUUCACUAAUUUGUAGGGAGAAAUACAAAUGCAAUCUAAACAUGAUUAAAUAUCCAAGGUGAUCACCAAAUUGAAAAUGAAUUAUCAAAAGUUCAGAUACCUUUGUCUUGCUACCCAGUCCACCCUUGUUUAUUUUUAAACCUUGCAAAGCUGAGUUCUUUGCCUGUGCUCCAAGGUCUCAAGCCUUUCUCAGGUCCGCGGAGAGGCUGUGCAGCAAGGAUAAACAAAACAGUCCACAGCACAGAAGAUAUCCUGGGAGCACCACGAGGCUUGAGAGUGAAAGGUAUCGGGAAAGGAGUUUUCUCUUUCGGUUAACAGCUGCUUAAGCUGCUAUCUGGGGAAUGCUUUUACAGAAAAACCCAGGUCAACCUAUACCAGGUCAACUCCCUGCCUUGGAGAAUGAACAUACGGGAUCCCAUUCAGCACAAAAUGCAACACUCUUCACACAGAAAUCAAUCAAUAUAUGCUGUUGGCUGGUGCCCGAGUUUACUUAAUGUCUCCCCUUUUAUGUGGCUCAAACUGCUUUGACAGGACAGAUUCACUGAGAUUUUGAGCAACCCACUGUUGAAGAGAAAGCAGCUUCUCCUUCCUCAUGACUACGCAAAUGUGACAAAGGGUGGAGAGAGUAGAUAUAUCUAUUUGGCUCUUGUCCCUUGUCUAUACUGGCGAAGCCAUAAUACCUGCUUAGAAUGUACUUUCCUUUGUAGUAAAUGAAGCAUUUGAAACUAGGUAGGUACUUCCAAGGUGAAGGUUUCUUUCAUUUUAAAAAUAAGUUUUGAGAGCAAAUGGCAAUCUUGCUUCAAACAACAACAACAACAACAACAACAACAAUCCCUCUGCAGUGUUAUCACAGCACCUUAAUCAUUGUCAUUAAGCUCUACCUGCAUGAUGUUGAACAUUUUUACAACCACGAUUGCCUUGGACACAAACACUAAGCACAGGAGACCGCUGCUAUUGUCUCCAUUUUCUGUGAGGAAAUGUGCAGGGAGAGGCUAAGCAAGUUUCUAAGAUUAUACAGCUGUGAGUGGUAGCUAUGUCCUAUUCACUGGCACGGCAAAUUCCUAAAAUUAUUCUCCCUUCUUCUAAUAUCCUCCAGUCUCACCUUCUCCCAGCCAACACAAGCAUGCACUUACAUGCUGCAAAGUCUGGCUUAUUGGAAGACUGGAACAUGGCAUACAUUAUGCUGCAUAAAAUCUGAGCUCUCGCAGCCGGGCGUGGUGGCUCACGCCUUUAAUCCCAGCACUCAGGAGGCAGAGGCAGGCAGAUUUCUGAGUUCGAGGCCAGCCUGGUCUACAAAGUGAGGUCCAGGACAGCCAGGGCUAUACAGAGAAACUCUGUCUCGAAAAAAAUCUGAGCUCUCAUAUAUAGCUGAUGAGCUAUGGAUAGUUGUUGGCUGGUUAGGGAGGAAAAGCCAGUUUCCUUUAAAUGUGCGGUCCCUGGAUCUCCCAAGAAAGGUGAAAUAGAUUAUAGUUCUAUGGAGAGAUAAAGGGGAAACUAGAAUAAGAAGAUUUAAAGGGAGAUGGGAGAGCAGGGUAAAAGCAGGACUUUGGGAGGGACAAGUAGCACUAAGGAUCCUUUGAAAAUUGUAAGGAAACUUACUGCUGUAGAAGUUUCCUAAAACAUACACCCGUGAAUAGAACAUAAAAGCAGUUACCUGAAUUUUUGAUCUUAGCCAUUCUGACUGGUGUGAGGUGGAAUCUCAGGGUUGUUUUGAUUUGCA
rnacentral:lncRNA from 1 species